rnacentral:rRNA from 1 species
AUUGAACGCUGGCGGCAGGCCUAACACAUGCAAGUCGAGCGGAUGAAGGGAGCUUGCUCCUGGAUUCAGCGGCGGACGGGUGAGUAAUGCCUAGGAAUCUGCCUGGUAGUGGGGGAUAACGUCCGGAAACGGGCGCUAAUACCGCAUACGUCCUGAGGGAGAAAGUGGAGGAUCUUCGGACCUCACGCUAUCAGAUGAGCCUAGGUCGGAUUAGCUAGUUGGUGGGGUAAAGGCCUACCAAGGCGACGAUCCGUAACUGGUCUGAGAGGAUGAUCAGUCACACUGGAACUGAGACACGGUCCAGACUCCUACGGGAGGCAGCAGUGGGGAAUAUUGGACAAUGGGCGAAAGCCUGAUCCAGCCAUGCCGCGUGUGUGAAGAAGGUCUUCGGAUUGUAAAGCACUUUAAGUUGGGAGGAAGGGCAGUAAGUUAAUACCUUGCUGUUUUGACGUUACCGACAGAAUAAGCACCGGCUAACUUCGUG